UCAAGAUGUCGCCAGUGUCGCCUAUGUUGUUGUUACAAACGAGACGAAGCCGAAAAGGGCAAAACAAAGCUGUAGCUAAUUUAUACUUUUAUUCCUGUGAUUUCAAUUACCAAAUUGAAUUUCGUAUCAUGUUCUUCUAGAUGCAUACUGUCAGUGUAAGUCAUUCCAACAAGUUGACUUAGCGCUCAGUCAACUUCCAUUCAUUAGCCCCAUCAUGCUGUCAAAAGCCUAAAACUCAUGUUUAAAGAUCACAUGUAGUGGAAAACAAAUCUGCCGAGAUAAGACUUUUCUGAAUCUUGCAAUUUUUGUGGCGCACCCUGCAACAGCAUGUUUGUUGUUAUGGAUGUUUUUACUUCUGUUUAGAAGGUGACCCAGCUUUGAAAUAGUUUCAGAGACAUGAAGCGUGUGGAGUGAAUAACCUGCCAUGUGUAUGCACAUGUACCGGAUCUGCUUGAUGAAAGUUAAAUGCCUUACUAAAUUCAUCACCCAUAUGAUAAGCAUCAAUACCACCCAUCACCAUGCUACUGCAAUACUUCAUGACACUUUCUGUGACAUCAGGAAAUUUACAUCAACCUAAGGAGUAAUGCUGUUUGUUGCUGUGAAUUCAAUUUUUACAGUUUUUUCAUCGUGAGCAUUUCAGUGUGCUUCUUAAAAAAGAGCACGGAGAUUCUUUUGCCAAUGCUGACCUUUGUCCAUGACGGAAGAAGGAUUUUCAACAACAUUCUUCUCCAUCCUUAUCUUCGCGACGCACGCUCAUCUAGCUUCACUGCUUUUAAACAAGAUUUGUUUUACUUCCCUGGCGACUUGGCAAGUUUCUGGACCACUUCAAGAUCGCUUCCGUCAGCUGUUACACACCUGCAGUCACUCACCACGGGAUUAUGCC